GACGGAGGAUGCAAGUGUUAUCCGGAAUCACUGGGCGUAAAGCGUCUGUAGGUGGUUUAAAAAGUCCACUGUUAAAAAUUGAAGCUUAACUUCAAAGAUGCCGUGGAAACUUUUAAACUUGAGUAUGAUAGGGGUAGAGGGAAUUUCCAGUGGAGCGGUGAAAUGCGUAGAUAUUGGAAAGACCACCAAUGGCGAAGGCACUCUACUGGGCCAUUACUGACACUGAGAGACGAAAGCUAGGGUAGCGAAUGGGAUUAGAAACCCUUGUAGUCC
rnacentral:rRNA from 1 species